GAUGAACGCUGACAGAAUGCUUAACACAUGCAAGUCUACUUGAUUCUACUUCGGUAGUUGAUGGUGGCGGACGGGUGAGUAACGCGUAAAGAAUCUGCCCUUUAGUUUGGGAUAACCUUUGGAAACGAAGGCUAAUACCGGAUAUUAUGGAGACGUCGCAUGACGACUCCAUGAAAGCUAUAUGCGCUAGAGGAGGACUUUGCGUCCCAUUAGUUAGUUGGUGAGGUAAUGGCUCACCAAGACCGCGAUGGGUAGCCGGCCUGGGAGGGUGAUCGGCCACAAGGGAACUGAGAAACGAGCCGUACUCCAAAGGGAGGCAGCAGUGGGGAAUAUUGGACAAUGGGCCACAAGCCUGAUCCAGCAAUUCUGUGUGCAAGAUGAAGGUCUUCGGAUUGUAAAGUGCUUUCAGUAGGGAAGAAAAAAAUGACGGUACCUACAGAAGAAGCGACGGCUAAAUAUGUGCCAGCAGCCGCCGUAA
rnacentral:rRNA from 1 species